UGCCUAAACUCUAUUUUUAGAGCAUGGCGCAAAAUCAUAAGACAUACCAAACCCGUCAUUCGGGGGCAUGUCUUAUGUUAUACGAGGAAACUUGUAUAGGGAUCGCAAGAUCCU
rnacentral:sRNA from 1 species